GCCUAACUUAUUGGUGACCUCUUAAAUUUGGCACGAAAUUUCACUUAGACACCUCAAGUAAAGUGAUGUUCAUUUUAGACAGCUCAUGUAAGGUCUUGUUGUGUCAUUUUGAUACAACAAAACCCUACAUGAGGUGUCUAAAAUGAACAUCGCCUACUUGAAGUGCCUAAGUGAAAUUUCGUGUCAAGUUUAAAGGAUCACCAAUGAAUUAGGC